rnacentral:lncRNA from 1 species
GCGGAUGAGACACUGCUCUCGUUAUCCUUCGAUGAUUUCUCUCAAAUGCUCAGCUUUAAUGCGUUUGCGCCUUUGUUCUGGCUAGGGUUUCAGCGGAGGACGAUGGAUGAGAAGCAACUACGUAAGCAGAAUUCCUAGUCUUUGCGCUGCUUCAACGUCUCGCCAGCACUGAAUACUGGGGAGUUUGUGUUGGAGAAUUGCUUUGGUAAUUUUGUUAUUUCCUUCUCUUUUUAGUUGUUUCUUGCUCGCCCACUAGAGUUUAGAAAUUUGAACAAUUGCUUUGUUGUUCCUCUUAUAAUUUCUAUGUUUUUUAUUGCUAGAAUUGAGAAUUUUGAUUUUUGAUUUUCGAUAUUAAAUACAAAUUUGCUUCCUUAAGCAGGCAACUCGCAACAUGUUUAAUAUUUCCAAUCUUGGGUAACAUGACAAUUGAUAUGGGCUAGGUGUGUGAAUGUUUGCUUAUGGGUUAUGUUUAACCUACCCCAAAUUGAGAGUUGCAGGCAAAACGAGAAUCGAUACGGGGUGAAAAUGGAAAGAGGUUGAUAGUGUUUUGACUUAUGAUGAUUAAGCAGAAUCGAGGAUCAAGCAGGUCAAGCUCGCCCUCGUAAAGAGCGGUGAAGGGCCAUUGGAGUAUUCUGAAAACUAACUUCUACGAUGAGAGAGACAGAGGUCUCCACUUAAUUCGGCGGAGCGUAUUUUAUCGUCAUAGGAGACUAUGGAAUUGAGGGAUUUUGUGCGUCUGGAUAACUAUGUUUCAUUUUCACGAUUUUAUUAUCUAGGUUUUCAAGAUUGGUUUGUCUAUAAUUUACAUUGCAAAGAAACCUACUUUUUCUUCAUAUCUUCUUCUAUCCUCUUUUUCUUUUUUCGUUUUUUUCAUAGACAAAAUCCGAAGUAAGCUAAAUCAUGGUAAUAGAAAUCAAAGUGCUCCAAAGGAACAACUCGUGUAAUCAUCAAACGGUGAUACGCUAAUAUUUUGACUAAUUUAGUUCGUAAGUUCCAGCCCAUGGUUUAUUUCUCUAAAUUUUGUUUAUUUAUUUUAGUUUUGAUUAAUUUGAUAUCUUGUUGAAAUUUAGCCAUAACUUAAUAUCUUCAUAUAAUUAUAUCUUCUAUAAUAGAUGGCAUUAACAUCAAAUGGUUGGCAUUGGAAAAUAACAAUAUCCUAUUCAUGAGAAUGGAGAAAUGAUGCUUAAACAUUCUAUUAUUGACUUAGAUGGAUUUUGCAGUUGUGUACAUGAGAUUUUUUUUGGAAAAACUGAAAUUUGCAGAAGCCAGCCAAGUGAGCUUUAGAAAUAUAUAUGGUGAUCAUUCUUUGCAUUUUUGUGUUUGAGUGGUAUUUUAGGCAAAAAUAUAAAGCUUAAGUUCACGGAUAAGAUGUUGUCUUACUUGUAGUGUUAUAUAUAUUUUCAAAAGAUAACCAGAAAGUGAUUGAAUUUGUUAUUUGUUGUUGAUAAUUUGUGGUGCAUUGACAGGUGGAGGAGGAUAGGAGGUUCAACAAAAGCUAGAGUCGAGUGCAAACUAGAGUUUGGAUUUGUAAUAGAGCUUUGAAAAAUUAAGCAAGAAUAUAUAUUUGGUUAUUUCGCAUUAGUGGACAGUGAUUUUCAAUUUCUUAGUACAACUACUUUUUGUGCUAGAAUUUUCAAUUCAUACACCUCGAUCAUAUACUCCAAGUAGUGUAUUAAGUAAGUUGAGCCACGAGCAAUCAUUUACAC